UACGUAGGUGGCGAGCGUUAUCCGGAUUUAUUGGGCGUAAAGCGUGCGCAGGCGGUUUAUUAAGUCUAAGAUUAAAGCCCGGAGCUUAACUCCGGUUCGUCUUAGAAACUGGUAGACUUGAGUAUGGUAGAGGCAAAUGGAAUUCCUAGUGUAGCGGUGGAAUGCGUAGAUAUCACGCAGAACUCCGAUUGCGAAGGCAGCAUACCGGCGCCCGACUGACGCUGAGGCACGAAAGCGUGGGGAUCGAACAGG
rnacentral:rRNA from 1 species